UCCAUGGGCACUGAAGAUGCCAAGACGGACACCACCACUCCCAAGGACAAAAGACUUAGUCCUAACCUUACCGUUAACUCUUGCUCAACAUAUACAUGCAAGUGUCCGCAUCCCAGUGCAAAUGCCCCAAACCCCUUACCAAGGCACAAGGAGCAGGCAUCAGGCACACUCAUCCACUGUAGCCCAAAACGCCAUGCCCCGCCACACCCCCACGGGUACUCAGCAGUAAUUAACCUUAAGCAAUAAGCGAAAGCUUGACUUAGUUAGAGCAACCAGGGUUGGUAAAUCUUGUGCCAGCCACCGCGGUCAUACAAGAGACCCAAGUUAACUGUGUGCGGCGUAAAGAGUGGGCCCAAACUAUCACACCAAACUAAGACCAAACCCUGCCCAAGCUGUCAUAAGCCUAAGGCACCCCUAAGCCCAACCUAAAGAUGAUCUUAAUACCCACGACCCAUUUCACCCCACCAAAGCCAGGACACAAACUGGGAUUAGAUACCCCACUAUGCCUAGCCCUAAAUCUUGAUGGCCCCCUCAACACAACCAUCCGCCUGAGAACUACGAGCACAAACGCUUAAAACUCUAAGGACUUGCGGUGCUCUAAACCCACCUAGAGGAGCCUGUUCUAUAAUCGAUAACCCACGAUCCACCCGACCACUUCUUGCCAAAACAGCCUAUAUACCGCCGUCGCCAGCCCACCUCAUGAGAGCACAACAGUGAGCUCAACAGCCCACAACCCACUAACAAGACAGGUCAAGGUAUAGCCCAUGAAGUGGAAGAAAUGGGCUACAUUUUCUAAAAUAGAAAACCCAACGAAAGGGGGCCUGAAACCUGCCCCCAGAAGGCGGAUUUAGCAGUAAAGCAGGACAAUCAAGCCUCCUUUAAACCGGUCCUAGAGCACGUACACACCGCCCGUCACCCUCCUCACAAGGCCCCCCAAACACAUUAACUAACACAACACCAACCGCUGAAGACGAGGCAAGUCGUAACAAGGUAAGUGUACCGGAAGGUGCACUUAGCACAUCAGGGCGUAGCUACAACAUAAAGCACUCAGCUUACACCUGAAAGA
rnacentral:rRNA from 1 species